rnacentral:tRNA from 1 species
GGCCGACUAGCUCAGUUGGUUAGAGCGUGGUGCUAAUAUGUAGCCAUCCGUGGACCUUACUACGCCAAGGUCGUCGGUUCGAUCCCGGCGUUGGCCA